AGACGGCAGCGGUGUCCGCCCUACGGCCGGCGUUGCCGGGGUAACGGCGAGCGCGUGGGGCCAAGAAAAGUAAGGGCCCUGGGCGAGGAACGCGCGGCCCCUGCCAAGUUUGGUGUUUUGCCGCGAAAGGAAAUCUCGCUCUUCCGAAAGUCCUCCGGGCGAGAGAGUAAAGGGCCCAGAAUAUCUCCUCUGAAAAAUGGCAGAAGCAGUUUUCCAUGCCCCAAAGAGGAAAAGAAGAGUGUAUGAGACUUACGAGUCUCCAUUGCCAAUCCCUUUUGGUCAGGACCAUGGUCCUCAGAAAGCAUUCAAGAUAUUCCGUGCUGAAAUGAUUAACAACAAUGUGAUUGUGAGGAAUGCAGAGGACAUUGAGCAGCUCUAUGGGAAAGGUUAUUUUGGAAAAGGUAUUCUUUCAAGAAGCCGUCCAAACUUCACAAUUUCAGAUCCUAAACUGGUUGCUAAAUGGAAAGAUAUAAAGACAAACAUGCCUAUCAUCACAUCAAAGAGGUAUCAGCAUAGUGUUGAGUGGGCAGCAGAGCUGAUGCGUAGACAGGGGCAGGAUGAGAGUACAGUGUGCAGAAUCCUCAAGGAGUACACGAAACCGCUUGAGCAUCCUCCUGUGAAAAGGAAUGAAGAGGCUGUAGUGCAUGACGAGCUUGACUCUGGAAUGGUUUCCAACGUGGAAGGCACAGCAGAGGGAGAGAGACCUUCUGUGGUAAACGGGGACUCUGGAAAGUCAGGUGGUAUGGGUGAUCCCAGUGAACCAUUAGGCUGCCUGCAGGAGGGCUCUGGCUGUGACCCAACAACAGAUGGCUUUGAGAAAAGUGUGGGAGAGGACGCCUCACCUCUGCCUCAAGUCUGUUGCUGCAAACAAGAUGCUCUCAUCCUCCAGCGUGGCCCUCAUCAUGAAGACGGCAGCCAGCACGUCGGCCUCCUGCAUGCUGGGGACAGAGGGCCUGACCAUGAGUACGUGCUGGUCGAGGAAGCGGAGUGUGCCAUGAGCGAGAGAGAGGAUGCCCCAAAUGAGGAAUUGGUGCAAAGAAACAGAUUAAUAUGCAGAAGAAAUCCAUAUAGGAUCUUUGAGUAUUUGCAACUCAGCCUAGAAGAGGCCUUCUUCUUGGUCUAUGCUCUGGGAUGUUUAAGUAUUUACUAUGAGAAGGAGCCUUUAACGAUAGUGAAGCUCUGGAAAGCUUUCACUGUAGUUCAGCCCACGUUCAGAACCACCUACAUGGCCUACCAUUACUUUCGAAGCAAGGGCUGGGUGCCCAAAGUGGGACUCAAGUACGGAACAGAUUUAUUGCUGUAUCGGAAAGGCCCUCCAUUUUACCAUGCAAGUUAUUCUGUCAUUAUCGAGCUAGUUGAUGACCAUUUUGAAGGCUCUCUCCGCAGGCCUUUCAGUUGGAAGUCCCUGGCUGCCCUGAGCAGAGUUUCCGUUAAUGUCUCUAAGGAACUUAUGCUGUGCUAUUUGAUUAAACCCUCUACUAUGACUGGCAAGGAAAUGGAGUCACCAGAAUGUAUGAAAAGGAUUAAAGUUCAGGAGGUGAUUCUGAGUCGAUGGGUUUCUUCACGAGAGAGGAGUGACCAAGACGAUCUUUAACAAUUCAACCUCAAAUUUCUAAUUUCACCAACAACUAUUUAUUGACGGCUAGUUUCUCAUCCCAGUUUCCCCAGCCUCCUGUGAAGGUAUCAGAGAAAGAAGAUAGCCCUCUCUUCAUGUCCUUUCUGAACUCUGCCUUUUCAGUGGGCAGAGGAAGUGCUUUGUAGCAGCAAACCCAACCCCCAAACCUCCGUGUAUCAGGUCAGGCAAAAUGAAAUGGACACAGGCUGGAAUUUUACUAAGUUCAGUCAUUGCUGGGCUCGUUUGUGCAAAUAGACUCAAGAGCUCAUUUAAAAGGAGUGACCAUUUCCUGAUUGAGAUUCUGGGGGGUUUUUGGUUUUGUUUUACUAUUGUUCACUAUCAUGAGCUUACCAUGUGCUUUUUUCUUUUUUUCUUGAGAUGUAGUCUUGCUCUGUCGCCCAGGCUGGAGUCCAGUGCUGCCAUCUUGGCUCACUGCAACCUCUGCCUCCUGGGUUUAAGCGAUUCUCGUGCCUCAGCCUCCCGAGUAGCUGGGAUUAAAGGCACGCGCCACCACGCACAGCUAAUUUUUGUAUUUUUAGUAGAGACGGGGUUUCACCAUGUUGACCAGGCUGGUCUCGAACUCCUGACCUCAAGUGAUCUGCCCGCCUCGGCCUCCCAAAGUGCUGAGAGUACAGGAGUGAGCCACUGCACCCGGCCCUUAGCACGUGCUUUUAAAGUAAAAACCACGAGGGGAAGGUACUCAUUACUUCAUAACUUGUGUCUCACCCACCUUGCUGUCUUCACAUCCCCACUUUCUCUAUGCACAUUGGAAGGUGAAUUUGUUCAGCUCACAUUAAUUUAUAGGAAUAAUUUUCAUUGCUCUGUGAAUAAAAUGUGCUGCCACUUUAUGCUGUAAAUGGAUUCUUAGUUUAAAAACCUCAUUGACGGGAAAAUAAUUUUGUUGGAAUGCAUUUAAUUUUUAAAACCUAGGGCAAUUUUUAUUUUAUGAAGUCUUAUGAUGUAGUAAGCUGACAUAUGCUUGAAGGGAAGCCAUACAUGUUUUUACUUUUUAUUUAUUUUUUGAGAUGGAGUUUUGUUCUUGUUGCCCAGGCUGGAGUGAAAUGGCACGAUCUCAACUCAUCACAACCUCUGCUUCCCGGGUUCAAGCAAUUCUCCUGCUUCAGCCUCCCUAGUAGCUGGGAUUACAGGCAUGUGCCACCAUACCCGGCUAAUUUUGUAUUUUUAGUAGAGACGGGAUUUCUCCAUGUUGGUCAGGCUGGUCUCAAACUCCCGACCUCAGGCGACCCACCCGCCUCAGCCCCCCAAAGUGCUGGGAUUACAGGCGUGAGCUACCACGCCCAGCCCAUACACAUUUUUAUUAACCACAGUUAAAUGCAUUUAGAAAUCCAUAGUACUGAUUAAAGGUAGCAACCACCCUACCCCCAAUGUCCAGGCUGCACUUACAUAGCUCUCAGUACAAACCGCCACCCUCAGGGGGUUGCACCUCCUGCCGGGGACAGUCAGUGACAUAGAAACCAUGCUCCCGUAUCGCCCGGUAGAGUGUGAUGAACUUGGAUGCCAGCCUUGUCCGCGGGACCACGUACUUUUCCGUAAAUUCACCCUUGUCCAGUUGCUGUCUACCUUCUGCCAUCAGAACGCAGUUUAUGAACGUGAGUGUGUAAGUGUAGCAGUUGUGGUGGUCUUCUUCAUACCUUACGGAAGAGAACAAGGGUGUUGAGAAGAAAAGGCUGCUCAGGAACAGGCCGUGAAGCUACCAAAGGCCUUUCCUAACUGAAAUCGGGUGCCUCAGCGAGCAAGGCCCCUGCAUGUGCUGGCUCAGUGGUUAAGAAGCUUCAAGAUGUGCACUUCAGGCCGGGUGCGGUGGCUCACACCUGUAAUCCCAGCACUUUGGGAGGCCAAGGUGGGAGGAUCACUUGAGGUCAGGAGUUCGAAACUGGCCUAGCCAACAUGGUGAAACCCCUGUCUCUACAAAAAAUACGAAAGUUGGCAUGGUGAUGCAAGCCUGUGGUCCCAGCUACUUGGGAGGCUGAGGCAGGAGAAUUGUUUCAACCCGGGAGGCAGAGGUUGCAGUAAGCCAAGGUCGCACCACUGUACUCCAGCCUGGGUGACAGAGUGAGUGAGACUCCAUCUCAAAAAAAAAAAAAAAAAUGCAAUUCUGGGGGAUGCUUGGUCUCUUGGGCCAUUUCUGCUUGAUGCAUAGAUUCACCCAGAUGUUCAGAGUGGUUACUCAGUUGCAAGUUAACUACCAAUUUGGGGAACUUAUUGCACUUCUAGAUUUUAGAGAUGGAAUUCCAUAUGAGUUUUAUGAUAUUCCGUAGUAUCUAAACUUAUUUCAAGGGAAACCUCUAAUUUAAAUCCACAGAUAUGCUGUACAUCUUAUAAAAUGUUGAGAGUGAGAAAUUAACUUGAAAUUGCUAAAAUUACAAAACAGAAGUUUUUACAUUUUGAACAUUGUUUUUUGUGCUUUUUUGGUUUUUUUUGAGACGGAGUCUCAGUCUGCCCAAGCUGGAGUGUAAUGGCGUGAUCUCGGCUCACUGCAACCUCCGCCUCCUGGGUUCAAGUGAUUCUCCUGCCCAAGCCUCCCAAGUAGGGACUACAGAUGACCACCACCAUGCCUGGCUAUUUUUGUAUUUUUAAUAGAGACGGGGUUUUACCAUGUUGUCCAGGCUGGUCUCAAACUUCUGACCUCAGGUGAUCCACCUGCCUCAGUCUCCCAAAGUGCUGGGAUUACAGGCGAGAGCCACAAUGCCCAGCCUGAAUAUUGUUUUUUUUUAAUUUUUAAGGAAAUACAAUAUCGUGACUUGCUAUGUAUAUGUAAAAAUACCUUGUCCCAAAAUUAAAAUAACUGAAUACAGAUUCUAGUCCUUUAA